rnacentral:rRNA from 1 species
GAUGAACGCUGGCGGCGUGCCUAAUACAUGCAAGUCGAGCGAACGGACGAGAAGCUUGCUUCUCUGAUGUUAGCGGCGGACGGGUGAGUAACACGUGGAUAACCUACCUAUAAGACUGGGAUAACUUCGGGAAACCGUAGCUAAUACCGGAUAAUAUUUGAACCGCAUGGUUCAAAAGUGAAAGACGGUCUUGCUGUCACUUAUAGAUGGAUCCGCGCUGCAUUAGCUAGUUGGUAAGGUAACGGCUUACCAAGGCAACGAUGCAUAGCCGACCUGAGAGGGUGAUCGGCCACACUGGAACUGAGACACGGUCCAGACUCCUACGGGAGGCAGCAGUAGGGAAUCUUCCGCAAUGGGCGAAAGCCUGACGGAGCAACGCCGCGUGAGUGAUGAAGGUCUUCGGAUCGUAAAACUCUGUUAUUAGGGAAGAACAUAUGUGUAAGUAACUGUGCACAUCUUGACGGUACCUAAUCAGAAAGCCACGGCUAACUACGUG